UACGAAGGGGGCUAGCGUUGCUCGGAAUUACUGGGCGUAAAGCGCACGUAGGCGGUCUUUUAAGUCGGGGGGGAAAUCCUGGAGCUCAACUCCAGAACUGCCUUCGAUACUGGAAGACUUGAGUCCGGGAGAGGUGAGUGGAACUGCGAGUGUAGAGGUGAAAUUCGUAGAUAUUCGCAAGAACACCAGUGGCGAAGGCGGCUCACUGGCCCGGUACUGACGCUGAGGUGCGAAAGCGUGGGGAGCAAACAGG
rnacentral:rRNA from 1 species